UCAAAUCAUAGCGAGAUACCUGUGUGGAUAACUUUACAUGCCAAUCAGAUCUAUAUUUAUUUGUCUUUAGAUGAGCAGCGAUCAGGGGGUGGGGAACCAUGGCACAUUUCUGUUUUUAUCCUCUCCAUGUUGUUUUGCCCAUAUACCCUUUAUGGCAAAAUGUUAAAACGCCAAGCUCCACAUAUUGAUAUUCCUUAACUUUACACACAAUACCCCUUAUUAUCAGAAUAUUAGGCUACCAACAAUGCAUUAGUUUGAUUCAUGUAUUUUAGAAAAAUAAAGAAAACUGGCCAACUUCACUAGGCAAAAACAAAAAAUAUUCAGUAAAGAUACCCUGCACCGUGUAGAAAGAGAGGGGGUGUGCUUCCCUAGCGACGGCUAUUGUAAAUAAUCCAAGGAAAAUGGCGACCGAGUACGUCUGGCUGCUGCUGCAACCUCGUCAAAAGGUUGUUACCGUCAAUUUCCUCUUAUUUAAGUCCAGAAAUGGUCAGCAGGCCAAAGUCAAAUACGUCGUCAACACAGUGUACUAAAUUCUGCAGGCUGUGCUGAUGAUCUCUCUGACGUGGAAGUACUAUGCUGACCCAGUGACGGUUCUGCCCAGAAAGUGGCUUUUCUCCUCUAGAGCAAAUGUUGGCCUUCCCAUCUGGAGUAGCAGAUCCUCUCAAGCUUUGUCAGGUUAGAUGGGGAGUGUCGCU